rnacentral:rRNA from 1 species
UACGUAGGGCGCGAGCGUUGUUCGGAUUUACUGGGCGUAAAGGGCUCGUAGGCGGCCAACUAAGUCAGACGUGAAAUCCCUCAGCUUAACUGGGGAACUGCGUCUGAUACUGGAUGGCUUGGAUUCGGGAGAGGAAUGCGGAAUUCCAGGUGUAGCGGUGAAAUGCGUAGAUAUCGGAAGGAACACCAGUGGCGAAAGCGGCUUCCUGGUCCAGCACCGACGUUCAGGCACGAAAGCGUGGGGAGCAAACAGG